rnacentral:rRNA from 1 species
AGCGAACGCUGGCGGCAGGCUUAACACAUGCAAGUCGAACGCACCUUCGGGUGAGUGGCAGACGGGUGAGUAACACGUGGGAACGUACCCUUUGGUUCGGGACAACUCCGGGAAACUGGAGCUAAUACCGGAUACGCCCUUUUGGGGAAAGGUUUACUGCCGAAGGAUCGGCCCGCGUCUGAUUAGCUAGUUGGUGGGGUAACGGCCUACCAAGGCGACGAUCAGUAGCUGGUCUGAGAGGAUGAUCAGCCACACUGGGACUGAGACACGGCCCAGACUCCUACGGGAGGCAGCAGUGGGGAAUAUUGGACAAUGGGCGCAAGCCUGAUCCAGCCAUGCCGCGUGAGUGAUGAAGGCCUUAGGGUUGUAAAGCUCUUUUGUCCGGGACGAUAAUGACGGUACCGGAAGAAUAAGCCCCGGCUAACUUCGUGCCAGCCGCCGCCGUAACAC